UCUACGGGUGGCAGCAGUGGGGAAUAUUGGACAAUGGGCGAAAGCCUGAUCCAGCCAUGCCGCGUGUGUGAAGAAGGCCUUCGGGUUGUAAAGCACUUUCAGUGGGGAAGAAAGCCUUGGGGCUAAUACCCUCGAGGAAGGACAUCACCCACAGAAGAAGCACCGGCUAACGCCGUGCCAGCAGCCGCGGUAAUACGGAGGGUGCGAGCGUUAAUCGGAAUUACUGGGCGUAAAGCGCGCGUAGGCGGUCUGAUAAGCCGGUUGUGAAAGCCCCGGGCUCAACCUGGGAACGGCAUCCGGAACUGUCAGGCUAGAGUGCAGGAGAGGAAGGUAGAAUUCCCGGUGUAGCGGUGAAAUGCGUAGAGAUCGGGAGGAAUACCAGUGGCGAAGGCGGCCUUCUGGACUGACACUGACGCUGAGGUGCGAAAGCGUGGGUAGCAAACAGGAUUAGAUACCCGAGUAGUC
rnacentral:rRNA from 1 species